AAUAUGAAAAAUCUAAAGUCACCACUCUCCCUCCUCCUCCACCUGCUCUCGUAUUCUUCUUACAUUUGGGUUUUCAUCUCACUUCAAUCCCACGCUCUUUCUUCGCUUAACUCAUCGCUUCUUUUCGCUUUCAGCUGUUGGCCCCCAGGAUAGGCUACUUGCCUUUGUUGAUUUCGCUUUUGAAGCCUCACUUCAGCACCAUGCUUCCCCCUGGAGUUGACACCAUUUGGUUUGAAUACAAGGGCCUUCCUAUUAAGUGGUAUAUACCCACUGGUGUUCUUUUUGAUCUUCUAUGCGUGGAGCCCGAGAGGCCGUGGAAUUUAACGGUACACUUUAGAGGAUAUCCAAGUAAUUUGUUGGUUCCCUGUGAAGGUGAAGACAGCGUGAAGUAAUUUGUUGGUUCUCUGUUUUUAAACAAAUAUUUCUUUGCAAUUCAGUGUGAAUUCAGCGUGAGUUUACGUGUGUUUCAGUAAAUGGAGUCUGUUGUACUUCAAUUUGCAUACCCUUGCAGGAUUAGAUUUAUAUAAGUUCUAUUUUUUGGUGGUCAGUUUGUUUUGAUAUUGUCCUUUGUGUUCUCUAAUUUCUGUUCAUUUUCCACAUUAAGUUGGCAUGUCCCUUCCUGAAUCCUAUAUGUCGGUUUUAAAAAAAAAACUGUCAAAACAUGAAGGUAGCAUAUUUCGUGACAAUAAUUUUGAUUUUGUUUGUUAAUUUACAGAAAUGAUUUACUU